rnacentral:lncRNA from 1 species
AUCUAUAAGUACAUCAAGUGCUUGGUGAAGUUGGUUUUUGGAUUCAAGAUAUCAUCCCAUUAAGAGAGUAUUAAUGGAGGUAUAUGUCAUUGCUUAAGCUCAUGGAUUAAGAGUUGUGUAUGAGGAUCAGAUGACACCAAAGUUUACAAAGCUAUAUGUACAAUGUGAGAAUGAAGCAACUUAACCGUGCUAAAGGUACCGAUAAUUGGGACUUAGUGAUGAAACUAACCUUGGAUCAAGAGACUCGGUACCAUGAAUGUAAAAGACUAUGAUGUGUAGCGUUCAAAAAGGAUAGGAGAACUAGUCCUUACUAUUCCCCAAUCAAUCUCGUCUUAAGGGGGGUAGUACCUUGAUAUCACUGGAUGAUGCAUUAUAAAUUAUCAUCAAGUGAUAAAUGUCUUCUGAGAUAUCUUAUGGUUAUGUGCACACAAAGGAGUGAUCUAUGCUACUCAGUGGAAAAUUUUCUUAACCGCACCAUCAGGGAAGAGAGUUGAGUAUCAACGUGGUCCACUCCUACCUGAGGAGGCAUAUCCAUGCUAAAUUAUCAUAUCCUUGGGUUAUAAGUCAAAAAGUUGGUAGUCAAGAUGAACCUUGAUCAAUCACGAAUAAUAGACAUUUUAUGGAAGCGUUGUUCCUAAGUUGUGAUCCUGAGACAUAAGUGUUUAUAUUUGGAAUACAAGUUGUGAAGUUAUCAAUAUCUUGCUCUUGUUUCUCUUUUGGAAUCAGUGCCUCUUUCGAAUCUCAAGGACGAGAUUCAUUUUAAGGGGGGGUAGAAUUUGUAACACCCAAAAUCUAAUUUUGAAUUAAUAGGAUUUAAUUUGAUUUAAUUAAGUAUAUUUUUGUAAGCAUUUAAAUUUAGUGCUUAAAUAAGUUUUUGUGGAAAAUAAAAUUUAGCGUAAGUUUAGCAACCUUGAUUGUGCAUUCAUUCUGGAGCAUAUUUUAUGUUAUGCUUGUUGCUUUUAGUUAGAAAUUAUUUGCACACAAAACUCUAUUUGGAAAAAUGUUUUGGAAAAAAAAAGAAAAAAAAAGGAUCUCUCUCUCAGCCAAUCGCCUAUUCCCAGAAACGGCCCAAACUCCCGCAGCUCGGCCCAGCACACACGCGCCCUCUCCCUCCCCUUCUUACACUUACGCGCGGACCCCAUGUCUACAGUCGCUGACGGCUUGGUCCCACUUGUCAGUGUCUUCCCCUUUCCCUUCCUUCUUCUUCCUCACGUGUUCAACUGGGACUCCACGACGAUGGAUCGGUCCCGGAAACUCAGGAUUUACCUGCCCUAGAGCCUAACCGAGCACUCUAUAAGGCCUUGUUAACCUUUUCGUGGCCCUUUUCCCCAUCCGCAAGAGGCCUAAGCCGUCAUAAUUCCUUCUGCUUGCUGGAAGGAUCUCGCCGAACGACGAACACGCCCGCCACCGUGCAACUCGUGAUUCGCUGCCGUUCCACCGAAUUUGACCCCUUACCGAGCUUCGCGUCGAGGUAAUGAAGCUUCCAAGUCUCUUCCCUAACUUUCUAACGCGUUCGUUUGUUCUCACAUCAGCGCCGAACCUGCAGAGGAAGUGCCGUCUGCGGUUUUGCGUCGUGUGCCUUCCCCAAGAUCGCCCAAGCUCCAAUAGCAACCUAGGUGAGUUCGCGAUGGUCCUCUCUUGCUCCCAGUACCGUUCCCGUCGAAAACCGAGCUUCCUAGUGCCUUCUCCACCAUCUCCGGCGAGCUCGGCUCUUUUCUGGCCAUGGAGCCACCGUGCAGCUCCUGGGCACCGCCGGCUGAAAUUCCCCCAUCCCCUCGAUGUCUCCUCGACCAUCAGAUCAAGAUCCAACGGCUCACAAUAGAACAUACCCCUUCAUUCGCGUUUUUGCUAAAGAGCCCCUGCUGUUUUUAGGAAUAAACCCGCGGUCCUAAAGCGCCCUUUCGAUAAUACGCUUUCUCAAUUUUAAAAGCGUAUUCUGCGCCGGUUUGAACUAAAAUACGUUUUCUGAAUUUACGAGUUUGCCACUGGAAUUAGAUAGCUUAUAAAAUAUUCAUCUUGACUCCGAUUUGACCCAUUCAAAUUGCGUUAGGUUCGUUUUCAUGAGCUCUACAUGUUAAAAAAAUGGUUUUCUCAGUUUGAAACUUUUUAAUUUCGUGACUUUAAUUAAUUAAUUACUUUUCUAUCAAAAUCUUAGAAAAUUCAUAUCUUCUCCGUUUUAAUUCCGAUUUUCGUGAUCUUUACGUUUGUGUGAUCGUAGUGCUGCGUAGAACAUUUUGAUAAACUUUUAUAUUUGUUUUACCACUGUUUGGUGUAUUGUUCUAAUUAUAGCUUGUUUGCUUCGUGUAUGUUUGUCUCCGGAUGUUUGUGUGUGGUUGAUCGAUGAUCGAGUUUAGACGGAGAGCAGUUUUUGGUGAUCAAGAUCAGAGCUUGGACAACUAGUAAGACCAGCAGAGUUAGCAAGAUCAGCAAGAGCAAUUAGAUGAAGGCAAGUAUAACUUGGGAUUAUCCUUGUUACCUACCCACUUUUAAUACAUAUAUCAUAUGCAUGUGUUGACCUUGAUGACCUUAGUAAAAUCAUAGAUGAUUGUUAUCCUGAAUUCCUUGUUACCUAUUUGGAUAUGCAUUUGGGUAGUUCUUGCUAGUGCUUGAUUAUAAUCCAUGAUCUUAUAACAUGAAUGUUUGGAUAUACAAUAAACAAUAAAAUAAGCUUUCUAGCAACUUGAAUAUAAAGGGUGGAAAGAACUCUGGCUUUUGCUGGAUUGAUCUUGACCCUCCAUAAGGACUUAUCCCUUGGCAAAAGCUGGGACAACUCGUACAACCAUGAGGGCUAUAUGGCUCUGGCUUUAGUCAAGUAUGAGUAACUUUUCUAGCUCGUUCGUGGUUACCCAUGUGGCGCAAUUGGGGAAUAGCAGACCGUGGAUUCCUGCGGGUGAAUCACAUGGACUGACUAUUGAAACCAAGCGGCCCUAUCUUGUUAGACGAACCUUUGAAAGACUUCAUAGUGAACCCUGCCGGCUUUCCUUGGAAGUGAGCUAAGAGGUCGACGGGCCUCAGGCGAAAGGGUAAAUCAUGACUCAUGGGUAAAGAUGUACAACCUCUGCAGAGUGUUAAAUCUGGUAUACUAGCCGUGCCCACGGAUACGGGCGGCCCGGAAAACUGACGGAAUAGACGGACACUGAUGAACAUGAUUAAUGAUGGUUUAUUAUGUUGUUUAUAUGUGUUAUUCAUAAUUCCUGUAUACAAUUGAUCAUGUGGUUUUGGGAUUAAUUAUGCUACCUUGAUAUUUGUUAUCCAAUGAUUAAAUAUGUUAUCUACAUAUAAAAGCUAAAUGCAGUCAAACUAGUGUCAGCUUAUUGAGCCUCAUGAACCCCUGGUUAUACUUGUUGAGUUCGACAUGGACUCACUCUUGCUAUUUCCCCAAACCUCAGGAGAAGUUUAGGCUUGUGAUCAACCAGUCAGUUUGAUCCUGUAGAGUGAAGUUAAUACCCGAAGUUUGGAGUUGUCUAUCCGUCGUUUGAUACUGAAGGUUAUCACUUUUAUACUAAGUACGUUAUAUAAUUUAUGCAUUGUCUUUUGAUAUUACCCCUUAUUUGUAGCUAUAUGUGAGAUUUGCCUUUUAAAACUCGCAUAUGGUGCAUAUCUGGUUUUGUUCUUAAAAUCGGAUAUUACAAAGUGGUAUCAGAGCAAUGCUGACUGUAGGACACAAGCCUAGUUAGAACUGGACGUUUUAGCAUGCUUCUAUCUUUGCUUACUUCUUGCUUUCACCUUGACCUUGAUAGUUGCUAAAAGUUAUGCUUACUUCUUGCCUAGUUCUUUUAUAAAAUCUUGUCCCUAUUCUAAAUCCUCCCUCUUUGUCUCUUUAGAUGGAUCAUAACGAGGAGACCUUUGGCAAGAAGGAACAAAAGCACCUAGAUAUGCCAACCAUAAAAGCAUUUGACAAGGAGAAGCAUCUAGCCAUGCAAACACAAGUAGUGGAAGGAAUAACUCAGAAUGAGAACUCUCAACAACGCAUCUCAGGACUAGUGAGGAGACAAGUAGUAGAAGCUUGGAAAAAUAUGAUAAAUCAUGGAAGUGUUGGGAGUAAUACAUUAGGAUAUCAGGAUCAAUGCCACUGUUGUGAGCAUUAUGGUCUUCCGUGUCUUCGGAAUAUGUCAUCUAAAAAGGAAGUUAAGACAAAACCAUCUCAUGUGACUAAUGAGGAUAAGAAGAGGAAGGCAAAAGCACUAGAGCCAGCAUUGGGAAGUGAUCAACACCCAAAUGUUAAGUUGUCACAUGUAGCUUCGAAUUCUUGUCAGGAAAAUUCAAGCCUUGGAGAUAAAGAAACUUCUCAAGCUAACCCCACUGCUCAUGAGGUAUGCACAGAUGGGUGGACAAUUACUUAUAGAGAAUUUCAACCUCGGAGGAUCAAGCAAUGUAGAAAGAAAUCUAACCAGGCAAAGAUAAACCAUCAGAGUCUGCAAGUUGAUAACACACCGAGCAACACUUCAGUGGAAAGUAACAUCACAAAGGAUCGAGCUAAGAGAAGGUGUUUUCACUGUCAACAAGAAGGACAUUAUAUAAGCGCUUGUCCACAAAAGAAGCAACCGAUGAAUCAUGAAAGUAGCCACACCGAGCCUAAAAUUUAGGAGUUUGUGUCCCUUGUGUAAUAAAAACGCUAGUGGCGAAAGUUGAGUUUGUGUGCGUUGUGAACCUUUAAAUGCUUAAUGGUUUGUUAUUAUGUUUAUGUUUGAUUUGCAUCUUUGUAAUGAGUGUAAUGAUUUUGUGAGUUUCUUCACAAUUUCAUUUAGUUUAUAGAUCUAAGGUAUAAGGAUUAAUGAAAUAAGUAGUUGGGUUUGGCUAUCUCUUGUUUCUAUCCCUUGCUGAAUUGUGGAGCAGUCUGCCAUAAUGCCGGUGUAUCUCAAGUUCUGAUCAUGCAAAGUUUGUUAAAUUUUUCUGGGAACAAAUAAACUUCAAGAUCUUUCCCUGACCGCAAGAAUCACCCUAAUAUCUAUUAUGGUUUGAAAGUUACAAAAAUCACAAGAUGAUACAGAUGUGCUGUCAAGAAUCUGGACCAGUUUUGGUUGCAUAAUGUGUAAGACAAAUAUAACAUAGAAUUUGGAAAAGUGUUCUAUAGAAAAGUUAUAGAAAAUUUUCUAGGCUUUCCAACGGUAUAAGCUGGAACUUAUUUGGAUAAGUAGAACCUGAGAUAUGAUAGUCAUAAGUGGAUGUUUCUAUUCUAUUUAAAAGUCUGGACAGUCCUAGUAUUUCUUUUUUUUAGCCAAGUUAAAGUCAGAAUCUGGGAAAAUGUUGUAUACGAAAGUUGUAAAGGAUUUCCUAUGUUUUUCAAAAAUACAAGGAUCAUCUCCAGAUGAGUUAAGAAGCUCGAGAUAUAAUUUCUGGAAAUUACUGCACCUUUGCUGAGAUAUUAUCAGAAAGGAUAUUAUGUUUGGUUGUUUUACCUAAGCUUAAAGACAGAAUCUUAGGAGGUCUUCUACUUGAAAGUUGUGGUGAGUUUCAUAAAUUUUCUAACGGUAUAAGCUAUAACUCUGUUGGAUUAAUGGAGUAAGCGUUAUAUCUGUUUUACUACACUGGUGUUUUCAUAUCACGAGAAAAAUUUCAGGAUACCUGUUUGCUUUAUUGCACAUAAGUUCUUUGGGAUGUCAGAAGUUCUGAAUGUUAGUUAACUUAUCUGGAAAACAUGCAAGCUACCUUUCUUGUGUUCCCUAGUUGACCCUUUUAAGGGGGGGUAGCCUAGUGAAAGGAGUUACAAGGAGAAUGAUUGGUAAAAACUAGAUCAUGUAUAAGUACAUCAAGUGCUUGGUGAAGUUGGUUUUUGGAUUCAAGAUAUCAUCCCAUUAAGAGAGUAUUAAUGGAGGUAUAUGUCAUUGCUUAAGCUCAUGGAUUAAGAGUUGUGUAUGAGGAUCAGAUGACACCAAAGUUUACAAAGCUAUAUGUACAAUGUGAGAAUGAAGCAACUUAACCGUGCUAAAGGUACCGAUAAUUGGGACUUAGUGAUGAAACUAACCUUGGAUCAAGAGACUCGGUACCAUGAAUGUAAAAGACUAGGAUGUGUAGCGUUCAAAAAGGAUAGGAGAACUAGUCCUUACUAUUCCCCAAUCAAUCUCGUCUUAAGGGGGGUAGUACCUUGAUAUCACUGGAUGAUGCAUUAUAAAUUAUCAUGAAGUGAUAACUGUCUUCUGAGAUAUCUUAUGGUUAUGUGCACACAAAGGAGUGAUCUAUGCUACUCAGUGGAAAAUUAGCAGUGGAAAAUUUUCUUAACCGCACCAUCAGGGAAGAGAGUUGAGUAUCAACGUGGUCCACUCCUACCUGAGGAGGCAUAUCCAUGCUAAAUUAUCAUAUCCUUGGGUUAUAAGUCAAAAAGUUGGUAGUCAAGAUGAACC